CCCGCUGAACUUAAGCAUAUCAAUAAGCGGAGGAAAAGAAACUAACAAGGAUUCCCCUAGUAACUGCGAGUGAAGCGGGAAAAGCUCAAAUUUAAAAUCUGGUGGCCUUUGGCCAUCCGAGUUGUAAUUUAGAGAAGCGUCUUCCGCGCUGGACCGUGCACAAGUCUCCUGGAAUGGAGCGUCGUAGAGGGUGAGAAUCCCGUCUUUGGCACGGACGCCCAGUGCUUCUGUGAUGCGCUCUCGAAGAGUCGAGUUGUUUGGGAAUGCAGCUCAAAAUGGGUGGUGAACUCCAUCUAAAGCUAAAUAUUGGCGAGAGACCGAUAGCGAACAAGUACCGUGAGGGAAAGAUGAAAAGCACUUUGGAAAGAGAGUGAAACAGUACGUGAAAUUGUUGAAAGGGAAACGCUUGAAGUCAGUCGCGUCGUCCGAGACUCAGCCUUGCUUCCGCUCGGUGCACUUCUCGGUUGACGGGUCAGCAUCAAUUUCGACCGCCGGAUAAAGGUUGAGGGAACGUGACAUCUUUCGAGGUGUGUUAUAGCCCUCGAUUCGCAUACGGCGAUUGGGAUUGAGGAACUCAGCGCGCCUUUAUGGUCGGGGUAGCAACCCACGUAACGCGCUCAGGAUGCUGGCAUAAUGGCUUUAAGCGACCCGUCUUGAAACACGG
rnacentral:rRNA from 1 species